AUCAGUGGUGCUUUCAGACUGGAUGAGGUGCCAGUUUCCAGCUGCACAGGUUUCAUAUUGUUAUAGUCUUAGCAACUGAAUACAUAAUCAUGCUCCAAGGUUAUAAUUCUUUUUGAUGAUUAAUAUUGAUUAUCUGAUUAACUAUGGCCACGAUUAUAAAUGACGACGGCACUGUGCAUGUUUGUGUACGUAUUCAGUUUGUCCAUACUAAUGACUAUUAGAAAUAUUGAAAGAAACUAAAGGGAAUAAGUAUUAAUGUCUUGUCAAACACUUGGCAUUGCUAAUGUAUUUUCAUCCUGGCUUUACGCUGAUGUAUUUUUAAU